GAUGAAGAACGUAGCGAAAUGCGAUAAGUAAUGUGAAUUGCAGAAUUCAGUGAAUCAUCGAAUCUUUGAACGCACAUUGCGCCCGCCAGUAUUCUGGCGGGCAUGCCUGUUCGAGCGUCAUUUCAACCCUCAAGCCCAGCUUGGUGUUGGGGAUCGGCACAGGCGCCCUCGGGCGCCCGCCGUCCCCUAAAUCUAGUGGCGGUCCCGCUGCAGCCUCCUCUGCGUAGUAGUUUUCUCCUCGCAAGGGCAGCUCGGUGGCGACCUCGCCGUAAAACCCCCAACUUCUGAAAGGUCGACCUCGAAUCAGGUAGGAAUACCCGCUGAACUUAAGCAUAUCAAUAAGCGGAGGA
rnacentral:misc_RNA from 1 species